rnacentral:lncRNA from 12 species
AUGAAGAGAAAAAGCUGACAGAAAACAUUUGCAUCGGAACAAGGUAUUCCUGAACAAGUGAAAAGCAAGCUUCUCAAGACAGUAUCAUGAAUUUAUAUCAACUUAUUCCCUAACUGAUGCUCGUCCAGGAGGAGGCAAGCUGUUGUCUCUAUACUGCUGUGUAGGAGCCAGCUCCUGAC